rnacentral:rRNA from 1 species
AACGAACGCUGGCGGCAGGCCUAACACAUGCAAGUCGAACGAGAAGCUAUCUUCGGAUAGUGGACAGUGGCGCACGGGUGCGUAACGCGUGGGAAUAUGCCCUUAGGUGCGGGACAACAGUUGGAAACGACUGCUAAUACCGCAUAAUAUCUUCGGAUCAAAGAUUUAUCGCCUAAGGAUUAGCCCGCGUUGGAUUAGCUUGUUGGUGAGGUAAAAGCUCACCAAGGCGACGAUCCAUAGCUGGUCUGAGAGGAUGAUCAGCCACACUGGGACUGAGACACGGCCCAG